rnacentral:lncRNA from 1 species
GCAUCGCUUGCUCUCGCGCCCCGUGCGCCCAACGGCAGUUUCAGGGAUGCGAUGUCCGGGUCUUACGGUAAUCGGCGGGGCAACAGAAUCGGACCUCCUCCUCGAUGGGCACGGAUGCCGAGGCUGAGGCUCAUCAUCACGCUCGACGGCGAUGGCGACUAGGGAGAUCAUCGACAAGAUCUGGAAGGAAUCGCCCUCCCUCACCGGACGCGCUGACAGGGACCGGAGGCCGG